GGGAGGAAAGAAGUGCAUCCGGGUUGCGGCUUCGCCUAUUGUCUGGGUUACGGGGCUUGCCUGGGGACGCUGAAGGCGCUCUUUUCAGCCUUAGCUGAGAUUUCUGACUGAAAGGGAGCAAAGCGCCCUACCGGGCUCAGGCUGCCAUCUAUGUGCCCGGGAGCGGCUGCUUGGCGCCAGCGAUGGAUCGGAGCUCGAAGAGGAGGCAGGUGAAGCCUUUGGCAGCUUCCCUGCUAGAAGCGUUAGAUUAUGACAGUUCAGAUGACAGUGACUUUAAAGUUGGAGAUGCUUCAGAUUCUGAAGGCAGUGGACAUGGCAGUGAAGAUGGAUCAAAGGAUAGCGAAGAAGGAUCCUGUAGUGAAUCAGAGGAAAAUGUCUUGGAAGAAGACCUGGCAGAAGGAGGAAAGAUAGAGGAAGAACAGCCUAAAAGCUCAGGUGGAGAAGAGCUGCCAAUAACAGAAAAAGAGGUGAUUAAAACCGAAAAAAAAGAGGAUGAUGAGGAUGGAGAAGGAGAAGAGAAACCGAGGAAGAAAAAAGAGAAAGAGAGAGAAAGACCUGCUGAAACAGAUACUGGCAUUGAUGAGCAAACAAAUGAACCAAAAAAGUGGAACUUGCGAAGAAAUCGCCCUCUGUUAGAUUUUGUAUCCAUGGAAGAGCUAAAUGACAUAGAUGAUUAUGACAGCGAGGAUGACAAUGACUGGCGACCAACUGCUGGAAAGAAGAAGGGGAAAAACACACUGCGGAAGGAGGGAAGUGACGGAGAUAAUGAGGAUGAUGAAGAUGAUGGGAGUGGAAGUGAUGAGGAUGACAAUGAAGAGGAAGGCAAUGAUGAGGAUGACGAGGAUGAUAACAGCAGUACUGCUAGUGAUGGUGGAUCCAAGAAGAAAAAAACAAAAGCUCUUAGCAGGAAUAGUGCUGAUGAUGAGGAGCUGACAAAUGAUAGCCUGGCCCUUUCACAAAGCAAGAGCAAUGAGGACUCGCUGAUUCUUGAGAAGUCUCAAAACUGGACCUCCCAGAAAAUGGACCAUAUUAUGAUUUGCUGUGUUUGUCUUGGGGACAACAGUGAAGAUGCUGAUGAAAUAAUCCAGUGUGACAACUGUGGGAUAACAGUGCAUGAAGGUUGUUAUGGUGUUGAUGGUGAAAGUGAUUCUAUUAUGAGCUCUGCUUCAGAAAACUCCACUGAGCCAUGGUUCUGUGAUGCUUGUAAAUGUGGUGUAUCUCCAAGCUGCGAACUCUGUCCCAACCAAGAUGGAAUCUUCAAGGAGACAGAUGCUGGCAGGUGGGUCCACAUUGUUUGUGCCCUCUAUGUUCCAGGAGUAGCAUUUGGAGAUAUUGACAAACUGCGACCUGUGACACUUACAGAAAUGAACUAUUCCAAGUAUGGAGCAAAGGAAUGCAGUUUCUGUGAAGAUCCACGUUUUGCCAGAACUGGUGUUUGCAUUAGUUGUGAUGCUGGAAUGUGCAGAGCUUAUUUUCAUGUGACUUGUGCUCAGAAAGAAGGCUUGUUAUCUGAAGCUGCUGCAGAGGAGGAUAUUGCAGAUCCUUUUUUUGCUUAUUGUAAGCAGCAUGCAGACAGGAUGGAUAGAAAAUGGAAGCGCAAGAACUACUUGGCUUUACAAUCAUAUUGCAAAAUGUCUUUGCAAGAGAGAGAAAAACAGCUCUCUCCAGAAGCUCAGGCACGGAUUAAUACCAGACUGCAACAAUAUCGUGCCAAGGCAGAACUAGCACGUACCACAAGGCCUCAGGCAUGGGUUCCAAGGGAGAAACUGCCGCGACCACUCACCAGCAGUGCUUCAGCAAUUCGCAAACUGAUGCGCAAAGCUGAAUUAAUGGGAAUCAGUACAGACAUCUUUCCAGUGGAUACUUCAGAUACUAGUUCCAGUGUGGAUGGAAGAAGAAAACACAAACAGCCAGCUCUGACAGCUGAUUUUGUGAAUUAUUAUCUUGAGAGAAACAUGCGCAUGAUCCAGAUCCAAGAGAACAUGGCUGAACAAAAGAAGAUUAAAGAUAAGCUGGAGAAUGAGCAAGAAAAGCUUCAUGUGGAAUACAACAAGCUGUGUGAAUCCUUAGAAGAACUUCAGAAUAUGAAUGCAAAACUGCGAAAUGAAGGGCAAGGAAUGUGGGCUGUGCUUGGUAGAAUUAUUGGGCAGAAAUUGAAUAUCCCAGCAAUUUUGCGGGCACCCAAAGAGAGAAAGCCCAGUAAAAAAGAAGGUGGAACCCAGAAGACUACAACCCUUCCAGCAGUCCUUUAUAGUUGUGGAAUUUGCAAGAAGAACCAUGAUCAACAUCUCCUUUUGCUGUGUGAUACUUGUAAACUGCAUUAUCAUCUUGGAUGUCUGGAUCCGCCACUUUCAAGGAUGCCAAGGAAGACCAAAAACAGUUACUGGCAGUGUUCCGAGUGUGACCAAGCAGGUAGCAGUGACAUGGAAACAGACAUUGCCAUGGAAACUUUGCCAGAUGGUACUAAACGAUCAAGGAGACAGAUCAAGGAGCCGGUGAAAUUUGUUCCACAGGAUGUACCACCAGAACCAAAGAAGAUUCCUGUCAGAAACACGAGAACUAGAGGAAGAAAACGAAGCUUCUUUCCAGAAGAAGAAAAAAUUGAGGAACGCAUUCCUAGAGAAAGAAGACAAAGGCAGUCUGUAGUACAAAAGAAGCCAAAGUCCGAGGAUCUAAGAACUGAAUGUGCCACAUGCAAGGGAACUGGGGACAAUGAAAAUUUAGUGAGGUGGUGAUGCCACUGCUGCGAUCGACAUUAGGUCAGGGUGCAACCUACUUGUGGGUCCUGAACCAAUGAGCUAGAUGAUCUUUUUGAUCCCUUCCAGAUUUAUGAUUGUUAAUGCCUCCAUCUAUUUAAAGCAGUCAACCAGCUUAAUGAUACUCUUCCUGAGAUUCUGCUCUGCCACAACUCGUCCUCGGAGGCAGUCCUGGAAACUUCUUUUAUAAAUGUGAUUUUUAAGCUGAGGAUAAGACUUUCACUAGGACACAAAUCAAAGGGAAACAAUAUAUUAUCCUGUCUGUAUUACUAGUUGUCCCAGGUCUUAUAGAAUAUAACCAAUUGGUAUGUUACAUGAACUGACAAGGCAGUUAAUUCACUUGCUGUUUUCUUUAUACUAAUCAGGCAUAUUUGAUACGUGCAUUGCUGGGAAAUACUGGAUAAAUGCCUUGUCAGAAUAGUUCUAUUAAGUAAUUUCAUCUCCCAUUGUGAUUCCUUGGCAAAUGAUGAUGUACAGUACUUGGACUCACUGAAGAGUGACAGGAGCCUAUGGGACUUCAUACUUAUUUGUCAUGAUAUUGAAUGGAAAAAGCAGUACUUUGUCAUUUGUUAGCUUUUCUGUUUCUGUGCCUCUUAAUAAGUAUAUACUCCUAUAUAAAAUAAUGUGUUGCGUAACUAUAUGUAAAAGGCUUCUUUUUUGUUCAGAGAGGUGCAGUGAGAUGUGUAAAACAUUUCACACUUGCUAUAGGAGAAGCGAUUUUGUUCAUAUUAGUCUGAACAAAUUUGUUUCAUUUCAAAAUUUACCAAGUGAGCAAAAACCAAUCCACAUUUCUCUCUAGUUAAGUAGCUAUGAUAGAGGGAAAAACAUCAAACCCUGCGAGGCUGUCUUCAUGGGGUUUCUGUGUUCUGAGUUUUGAGACUGUUGCUUUCUUCCCAAAAAAGGAACAAUUCUUGCAGAGUUCUAGUCAAAUAACAGUUGGUUAUUCACAAUUGCCAAACUUCUAAUAUAAAUAUAAAACAGAUAUUUCUUUCCACAGCAAAAGUCUAUUCUUUCCAUAUUUAAUUCUGCCCUGCUUGAAAGAAGUUUGUACAUAGGUGCAUUAAUGUCUGUCUCUGGACUAUAUAUGCUGCAAUUCAUCCAAGAUGUAUUACCCAUAUGGGGAGGGGGCUACAGUUUCAUUGCAUUUGCUUUCACCACUGAAAAUAAAAGGUGCUGCAUUGUAAACUGGAAGGUAUUUUGGCUUUUCAGCAUUGCAAAGAAACUUGUAGAAAAUUCUCCAUGUGAGUUCUUCUCAGUUUGUUGGUAUUGGAAGUUUGUGAUAUAUGGCAGUAUAGUAAUAUUUUGCAGUAUUUUGUAAAGCCCCCCCCCCCCGUUUUAAAAUAUGUUUCUUAACCAGAACAUACAAAAUGAAAGAUGUAAAUCAGCUAAUUACGAAUUGGUGUAUUGAAAUGGUUGUGGCUAGAGAUUAUGUUAUACAAUAUUUGGAUUGUUCAAUAAAAUAACUUGAUUUCAUC